rnacentral:rRNA from 1 species
AUGCAAGUCGAGCGGAUGACGGGAGCUUGCUCCUUGAUUCAGCGGCGGACGGGUGAUUAAUGCCUAGGAAUCUGCCUGGUAGUGGGGGACAACGUUUCGAAAGGAACGCUAAUACCGCAUACGUCCUACGGGAGAAAGCAGGGGACCUUCGGGCCUUGCGCUAUCAGAUGAGCCUAGGUCGGAUUAGCUAGUUGGUGAGGUAAUGGCUCACCAAGGCGACGAUCCGUAACUGGUCUGAGAGGAUGAUCAGUCACACUGGAACUGAGACACGGUCCAGACUCAUACGGGAGGCAGCAGUGGGGAAUAUUGGACAAUGGGCGAAAGCCUGAUCCAGCCAUGCCGCGUGUGUGAAGAAGGUCUUCGGAUUGUAAAGCACUUUAAGUUGGGAGGAAGGGCAGUAAGCUAAUACCUUGCUGUUUUGACGUUACCGACAGAAUAAGCACCGGCUAACUCUGUGCCAGCAGCCGCGGUAAUACAGAGGGUGCAAGCGUUAAUCGGAAUUACUGGGCGUAAAGCGCGCGUAGGUGGUUCGUUAAGUUGGAUGUGAAAGCCCCGGGCUCAACCUGGGAACUGCAUCCAAAACUGGCGAGCUAGAGUAUGGUAGAGGGUGGUGGAAUUUCCUGUGUAGCGGUGAAAUGCGUAGAUAUAGGAAGGAACACCAGUGGCGAAGGCGACCACCUGGACUGAUACUGACACUGAGGUGCGAAAGCGUGGGGAGCAAACAGGAUUAGAUACCCUGGUAGUCCACGCCGUAAACGAUGUCAACUAGCCGUUGGAAUCCUUGAGAUUUUAGUGGCGCAGCUAACGCAUUAAGUUGACCGCCUGGGGAGUACGGCCGCCAGGUUAAAACUCAAAUGAAUUGACGGGGGCCCGCACAAGCGGUGGAGCAUGUGGUUAAAUUCAAACCACCGCGAAAAACCUUACCAGGCCCUGGAAUGCAGAGAACUUUCCGAAAAUGGAUUGGUGCCUUCGGGAACUCCGACCCGGGUGCUGCAUGGUUGUCGUCACCUCGGGUCGUGGAAUGUUGGGUUAAGUCCCGUAACAAGCCCAACCCUUGUCCUUAAUUACAACCCCGUUAUGGUGGGCCCUCUAAGAAAAAUGCCGGUGACAAACCGGAAGGAAGUGGGGAUGACGUCAAGUCAUCAUGGCCCUUACGGCCUGGGCUACACACGUGCUACAAUGGUCGGUACAGAGGGUUGCCAAGCCGCGAGGUGGAGCUAAUCUCACAAAACCGAUCGUAGUCCGGAUCGCAGUCUGCAACUCGACUGCGUGAAGUCGGAAUCGCUAGUAAUCGCGAAUCAGAAUGUCGCGGUGAAUACGUUCCCGGGCCUUGUACACACCGCCCGUCACACCAUGGGAGUGGGUUGCACCAGAAGUAGCUAGU